UUGCCUACGGGGGGCAGCAGUGGGGAAUAUUGGGCAAUGGGCGCAAGCCUGACCCAGCAACGCCGCGUGAAGGAAGAAGGCUUUCGGGUUGUAAACUUCUUUUCUGAGGGACGAAGAAAGUGACGGUACCUCAGGAAUAAGCCACGGCUAACUACGUGCCAGCAGCCGCGGGAAUACGUAGGUGGCAAGCGUUGUCCGGAUUUACUGGGUGUAAAGGGCGUGUAGCCGGGCCGGCAAGUCAGAUGUGAAAUCCCAAGGCUCAACCUUGGAACUGCAUUUGAAACUGUUGGUCUUGAGUAUCGGAG
rnacentral:rRNA from 1 species